UUUCUCAAGGGUCCUUCGACCUUGUUUGACCUAUGAUAAAUCUCUUGGCCAUUUAUUUAGUGUUUUGAAGAGGUUUUAGGAUUUUGAUAAACCAUAUUUUAAUUUAAUGCAUUUUUAAUUGAUUUUUAAUUGUUUAAUUGUAAAUAAAUUGUGUUGAGCCAUUUUUAUUGACUUGUUGAGUUUGACUUUUGUUGUUGGGCCUUAGUUAAGGUUGAUUUGACUUUGUUGGAUUAAAAUCAUUGGAU
rnacentral:lncRNA from 1 species